rnacentral:rRNA from 1 species
UGAACGCUGGCGGCGUGCCUAAUACAUGCAAGUCGAGCGAACAGACGAGGAGCUUGCUCCUUUGACGUUAGCGGCGGACGGGUGAGUAACACGUGGGUAACCUACCUAUAAGACUGGGAUAACUUCGGGAAACCGGAGCUAAUACCGGAUAAUAUUUCGAACCGCAUGGUUCGAUAGUGAAAGAUGGCUUUGCUAUCACUUAUAGAGGGACCUGCGCCGUAUUAGCUAGUUGGUAAGGUAACGGCUUACCAAGGCAACGAUACGUAGCCGACCUGAGAGGGUGAUCGGCCACACUGGAACUGAGACACGGUCCAGACUCCUACGGGAGGCAGCAGUAGGGAAUCUUCCGCAAUGGGCGAAAGCCUGACGGAGCAACGCCGCGUGAGUGAUGAAGGUCUUCGGAUCGUAAAACUCUGUUAUUAGGGAAGAACAAACGUGUAAGUAACUGUGCACGUCUUGACGGUACCUAAUCAGAAAGCCACGGCUAACUACGUGCCAGCAGCCGCGGUAAUACGUAGGUGGCAAGCGUUAUCCGGAAUUAUUGGGCGUAAAGCGCGCGUAGGCGGUUUUUUAAGUCUGGUGUGAAAGCCCACGGCUCAACCGUGGAGGGUCAUUGGAAACUGGAAAACUUGAGUGCAGAAGAGGAAAGUGGAAUUCCAUGUGUAGCGGUGAAAUGCGCAGAGAUAUGGAGGAACACCAGUGGCGAAGGCGACUUUCUGGUCUGUAACUGACGCUGAUGUGCGAAAGCGUGGGGAUCAAACAGGAUUAGAUACCCUGGUAGUCCACGCCGUAAACGAUGAGUGCUAAGUGUUAGGGGGUUUCCGCCCCUUAGUGCUGCAGCUAACGCAUUAAGCACUCCGCCUGGGGAGUACGACCGCAAGGUUGAAACUCAAAGGAAUUGACGGGGACCCGCACAAGCGGUGGAGCAUGUGGUUUAAUUCGAAGCAACGCGAAGAACCUUACCAAAUCUUGGCAUCCUUUGACCCUUCUAGAGAUAGAAGUUUCCCCUUCGGGGGACAAAGUGACAGGUGGUGCAUGGUUGUCGUCAGCUCGUGUCGUGAGAUGUUGGGUUAAGUCCCGCAACGAGCGCAACCCUUAAGCUUAGUUGCCAUCAUUAAGUUGGGCACUCUAAGUUGACUGCCGGUGACAAACCGGAGGAAGGUGGGGAUGACGUCAAAUCAUCAUGCCCCUUAUGAUUUGGGCUACACACGUGCUACAAUGGACAAUACAAAGGGCAGCGAAACCGCGAGGUCAAGCAAAUCCCAUAAAGUUGUUCUCAGUUCGGAUUGUAGUCUGCAACUCGACUACAUGAAGCUGGAAUCGCUAGUAAUCGUAGAUCAGCAUGCUACGGUGAAUACGUUCCCGGGUCUUGUACACACCGCCCGUCACACCACGAGAGCUUGUAACACCCGAAGCCGGUGGAGUAACCAUUUGGAGCUAGCCGUCGAAGGUGGGACAAGUGAUUGGGGUGAAGUCGUAACAAGGUAGCCGUAUCGGAAGG